rnacentral:rRNA from 1 species
UAGUGGUGGGGUGACUGCGUACCUUUUGUAUAAUGGGUCAGCGACUUAUAUUCUGUAGCAAGGUUAACCGAAUAGGGGAGCCGGAGGGAAACCGAGUCUUAAUUGGGCGUUAAGUUGCAGGGUAUAGACCCGAAACCCGGUGAUCUAGCCAUGGGCAGGUUGAAGGUUGGGUAACACUAACUGGAGGACCGAACCGACUAAUGUUGAAAAAUUAGCGGAUGACCUGUGGCUGGGGGUGAAAGGCCAAUCAAACCGGGAGAUAGCUGGUUCUCCCCGAAAGCUAUUUAGGUAGCGCCUCGUGAAUUCAUCUCCGGGGGUAGAGCACUGUUUCGGCUAGGGGGCCAUCCCGGCUUACCAACCCGAUGCAAACUGCGAAUACCGGAGAAUGUUAUCACGGGAGACACACGGCGGGUGCUAACGUCCGUCGUGAAGAGGGAAACAACCCAGACCGCCAGCUAAGGUCCCAAAGUCAUGGUUAAGUGGGAAACGAUGUGGGAAGGCCCAGACAGCCAGGAUGUUGGCUUAGAAGCAGCCAUCAUUUAAAGAAAGCGUAAUAGCUCACUGGUCGAGUCGGCCUGCGCGGAAGAUGUAACGGGGCUAAACCAUGCACCGAAGCUGCGGCAGCGAACGUAUCACCCAAGACAACUUUACGGAGUUGACGAUUGACGGAGCGAAGCGACGUCAAAGCGUUCAUUAAAGUCGAGUUGGCUUAGGGAUACGUUCGUUGGGUAGGGGAGCGUUCUGUAAGCCUGUGAAGGUGUGUCGUGAGGCAUGCUGGAGGUAUCAGAAGUGCGAAUGCUGACAUAAGUAACGAUAAAGCGGGUGAAAAGCCCGCUCGCCGGAAGACCAAGGGUUCCUGUCCAACGUUAAUCGGGGCAGGGUGAGUCGACCCCUAAGGCGAGGCCGAAAGGCGUAGUCGAUGGGAAACGGGUUAAUAUUCCCGUACUUGGUGUUACUGCGAAGGGGGGACGGAGAAGGCUAUGUUGGCCGGGCGACGGUUGUCCCGGUUUAAGCGUGUAGGUGUGUGUUCCAGGUAAAUCCGGUUCACUUUAACACUGAGGCGUGACGACGAGGCACUACGGUGCUGAAGCAACAAAUGCCCUGCUUCCAGGAAAAGCCUCUAAGCAUCAGGUAACAUCAAAUCGUACCCCAAACCGACACAGGUGGUCAGGUAGAGAAUACCAAGGCGCUUGAGAGAACUCGGGUGAAGGAACUAGGCAAAAUGGUGCCGUAACUUCGGGAGAAGGCACGCUGACACGUAGGUGAAGUGAUUUACUCAUGGAGCUGAAGUCAGUCGAAGAUACCAGCUGGCUGCAACUGUUUAUUAAAAACACAGCACUGUGCAAACACGAAAGUGGACGUAUACGGUGUGACGCCUGCCCGGUGCCGGAAGGUUAAUUGAUGGGGUCAGCGCAAGCGAAGCUCCUGAUCGAAGCCCCGGUAAACGGCGGCCGUAACUAUAACGGUCCUAAGGUAGCGAAAUUCCUUGUCGGGUAAGUUCCGACCUGCACGAAUGGCGUAAUGAUGGCCAGGCUGUCUCCACCCGAGACUCAGUGAAAUUGAACUCGCUGUGAAGAUGCAGUGUACCCGCGGCAAGACGGAAAGACCCCGUGAACCUUUACUAUAGCUUGACACUGAACAUUGAGCCUUGAUGUGUAGGAUAGGUGGGAGGCUUUGAAGUGUGGACGCCAGUCUGCAUGGAGCCGACCUUGAAAUACCACCCUUUAAUGUUUGAUGUUCUAACGUGGACCCGUAAUCCGGGUUGCGGACAGUGUCUGGUGGGUAGUUUGACUGGGGCGGUCUCCUCCUAAAGAGUAACGGAGGAGCACGAAGGUUGGCUAAUCCUGGUCGGACAUCAGGAGGUUAGUGCAAUGGCAUAAGCCAGCUUGACUGCGAGCGUGACGGCGCGAGCAGGUGCGAAAGCAGGUCAUAGUGAUCCGGUGGUUCUGAAUGGAAGGGCCAUCGCUCAACGGAUAAAAGGUACUCCGGGGAUAACAGGCUGAUACCGCCCAAGAGUUCAUAUCGACGGCGGUGUUUGGCACCUCGAUGUCGGCUCAUCACAUCCUGGGGCUGAAGUAGGUCCCAAGGGUAUGGCUGUUCGCCAUUUAAAGUGGUACGCGAGCUGGGUUUAGAACGUCGUGAGACAGUUCGGUCCCUAUCUGCCGUGGGCGCUGGAGAACUGAGGGGGGCUGCUCCUAGUACGAGAGGACCGGAGUGGACGCAUCACUGGUGUUCGGGUUGUCAUGCCAAUGGCACUGCCCGGUAGCUAAAUGCGGAAGAGAUAAGUGCUGAAAGCAUCUAAGCACGAAACUUGCCCCGA